CCUACGGGCGGCAGCAGUGAGGAAUAUUGGUCAAUGGGCGAGAGCCUGAACCAGCCAAGUCGCGUGAAGGAUGAAGGAUCUAUGGUUUGUAAACUUCUUUUAUAUGGGAAUAAAGUGAGGAACGUGUUCCUUUUUGUAUGUACCAUAUGAAUAAGCAUCGCCUAACUCCGUGCCAGCAGCCGCGGUAAUACGGAGGAUGCGAGCGUUAUGCGGAUUUAUUGGGUUUAAAGGGUGCGUAGGUGGUUAAUUAAGUCAGCGGUGAAAGUUUGUGGCUCAACCAUAAAAUUGCCGUUGAAACUGGUUGACUUGAGUAUAUUUGAGGUAGGCGGAAUGCGUGGUGUAGCGGUGAAAUGCAUAGAUAUCACGCAGAACACCGAUUGCGAAGGCAGCUUACUAAACUAUAACUGACACUGAAGCACGAAAGCGUGGGGAGCAAACAGGAUUAGAUACCCCGGUAGUC
rnacentral:rRNA from 1 species